CCCGCCAGGGACCGGUGCCCGGGGCCAGAGGGAGGCGCGUCCCAGCCGCGACCCCCGGAGCAUGUUCCGCAGGCUCCCGGCGCGCACGACAGGAUGGAGCAGCCAGCGGGGGGGCCGGCCUCCCCCCCCACGAGGAUUCUGUGCCAAAGGCCCAGGGAGGGGGCGCUGUGGGGUGCCCUUGCCAUCCUGUCACUGCUGAGCGGUGUGGCCAAGGGAACCCCGCACACCUGGCACCGCAACACGACCCUGGAGGCUGCACCCACUGCGGGCGGCAUGGGCACUGCCAGCCCUGGAGCAGAGGACAG